AGAGUUUGAUCCUGGCUCAGGAUGAACGCUAGCUACAGGCUUAACACAUGCAAGUCGAGGGGCAGCAUGGUCUUAGCUUGCUAAGGCCGAUGGCGACCGGCGCACGGGUGAGUAACACGUAUCCAACCUGCCGUCUACUCUUGGACAGCCUUCUGAAAGGAAGAUUAAUACAAGAUGGCAUCAUGAGUCCGCAUGUUCACAUGAUUAAAGGUAUUCCGGUAGACGAUGGGGAUGCGUUCCAUUAGAUAGUAGGCGGGGUAACGGCCCACCUAGUCUUCGAUGGAUAGGGGUUCCGAGAGGAAGGUCCCCCACAUUGGAACUGAGACNCGGUCCAAACUCCUACGGGAGGCAGCA
rnacentral:rRNA from 1 species